GAGUUUUGAUCAUGGCUCAGGAUGAACGCUAGCUACAGGCUUAACACAUGCAAGUCGAGGGGCAUCAGUUUGGUUUGCUUGCAAACCAAAGCUGGCGACCGGCGCACGGGUGAGUAACACGUAUCCAACCCUGCCUCAUACUCGGGGGAUAGCCUUUCGAAAGAAAGAUUAAUAUCCGAUAGCAUAUAUUUCCCGCAUGGUUUUAUAUUAAAGAAAUUCGGUAUGAGAUGGGGAUGCGUUCCAUUAGUUUUG
rnacentral:rRNA from 1 species